UAUUGCUAAAAAUGCUAACAAUGAUCUGAGCCUUCAGCAAACCAUCAUCUUUUUGCUGGUGAAGGGUCUUGCUUUGAUGUUGAUGGCUGCUGAAUGAUCAGGGUGGUGGUUGCUGAAGAUUGUGGUGGCUGUGGCAGUUUGUUAAGACAACAAUGGAGUUUGCCAGAGCAAUUGACUCUUCCUUUUAUGAAAGAAAGGAAGCAAUUGACUCUUCCUUUUAUUUCUCUGUAGCAUGCAAUGCUGUUUUAUAGCAUUUUACCUGCAAUAGAACUUCUUUCAAAAUUGGAGCCAACACUCUCAAACUCUGCUGCUGCUUUAUGAACUAAGUUUAUGCAGUACUCUAAAUCCUUUAUUGUUAUUACAACAAUGUAAAUAGCACCUUCACCAAGAGUAGAUUCUAUCUUAAGAAACCACUUUCUUUGCUCCUCCUUCAUAAGAAGCAGUUCCUCAUCUGUUCAAGUUUUAUCAUGAGAUUGCAGAAAUUCAGUCCCACCUUGAUUGUAGAAAUUCAGUCCCACCUUCAGGCUCCACUUCUAGUUCUCUUGCUAUUUCUAUCGCAUCUGCUGUUGCUUCCUCCACUGAAACCUUGAACCCGUCAAAAUCACCUAUGAAGGUUAAAAUUAACUUCUUCCAAACUACAGUUAAUGUUGAUAUUUUGAUGUCAUGAAUCAUGAAUGUUCUAGAGUGGCAUCUAGAAGAAUGAAUACUUUCCAGAAUGUUUUCAAUUUCCUUUUCUAGUCCAUCAGAGGAAUCACCAUCUAUGGCAGUUAUAGUGUUAGGGAAUGUAUUUCUUAAAUUACAAGACUUGAAAGUUGGAAUUAGUCCUUGAACCAUGGGCUUCAGAAGCGAUGUUGUGUUUGCAGGUCUGAAAAUAUCCUUGUACCUCUCUGUCAGGACUCUUGAGUGACCAAGUGCAUUGUCAAUGAGCAGUAAUAUUUUGAAGGGACUCUUGUUUUUUUUUUUUAAGUCAUAGUGAGGAAGGAGACCACCAGUUCUCCUGCUGCUCUCCGCCUUGCCUAGUUUAUAAAACAAGAGAAAAAGGAGAAAGCAAAAAGUUAAAAAGAAAAAAAGUAAGAUAAAU
rnacentral:lncRNA from 1 species